rnacentral:rRNA from 2 species
CAAAUUAUCCUCAUAAGUUAGAUGAUAAGAGGUACCGCCAUAAAUUUAAAAAUUAGAGCGGUGGCACAGAAUCGGAGGCCCCGACUGUUUACUAAAAACACAUCACAGUGCAAUCAUUAAUAUGAUAGUAUACUGUGUGAAAUUUGCCCGAUGCCAUUAAUAUAAGAACGGUCAUAACCUAGCUUUUAUUAAGCUGGUAAAAAGUGACUUAUCGAAAAUCUGGUUAAUAGCGGUCUUAACUAUGAGGAUCCUAAGGUAGCAAAAUCAGUUGGCCAUUAAAUGUGGUCCGGUAUCAAUAAUGUAACGAUGGUCUCACUGUCUCUACAACUUGCUCAGUGAAAUUGAAUUACGCGUGCAGAUGCGCGUUACCUUCAGGGGGACGGGAAGACCUAUGCAGCU